GAAGCCCUCGCUGAUGCAGAGGAAAGGUGUGAGGGGCUCAUUAAAGCAAAAAUCCAACUCAGGGUCAAACUUAAAGAGACAGCCGAGGACUGGAGGAUGAGGAGGAAAUGAACGCUGAGCUGACUGACAAGAAGAGGAAGUUGGAGGACGAGUGCUCUGAGCUGAAGAAGGAUAUUGAUGACUUAGAGCUGACCCUGGCCAAAGUGGAAAAGGAGAAACAUGCCACUGAGAACAAGAGGAACUGGCUGCUCAAGAUGAGUCCAUUGCCAAGUUGACCAAAAAAAACAAAGCCCUCCAAGAGGCCCAUCAGUUGACCCUCGAUGACCUGCAGGCAGAGGAAGACAAAGUUAACAGCCCAACGAAGGCCAAGACCAAGCUGGAGCAGCAAGUGGACGAUAUUGAAGGUACACUGGAGCAAGAAAGGAAGCUCCGUAUGGAUCUUGAGUGAGCUAAAAGAAACCUCGAGGGAAAUCUGAACCUGGCCCACGAAACCGUCAUGGAUCUUCCAUGAAAGGCGGCAAGAAGCAGCUCCAGAGACUAGAGGUUCGGGGGCUGGAGGUGGAGGUUUAGGUGGAGCAGAAACGUGGAUCUGUGUCUGUAAAGGGUGUCCGCAAGAAUGAACCUAAAGUGAAGGAGCUGACUUAUCAGGAGGAGCAAGCCAACACUCACCUGGCCAGGAACAGGAAGGUUCAGCAUGAGCUUGAGGAAGCUCAGGAGCGCGCUGACAUCGCAGAGUCGCA